AGUCGAGCGAUGGAUUAGAGCUUGCUCUUAUGAAGUUAGCGGCGGACGGGUGAGUAACACGUGGGUAACCUGCCCAUAAGACUGGGAUAACUCCGGGAAACCGGGGCUAAUACCGGAUAACAUUUUGAACCGCAUGGUUCGAAAUUGAAAGGCGGCUUCGGCUGUCACUUAUGGAUGGACCCGCGUCGCAUUAGCUAGUUGGUGAGGUAACGGCUCACCAAGGCAACGAUGCGUAGCCGACCUGAGAGGGUGAUCGGCCACACUGGGACUGAGACACGGCCCAGACUCCUACGGGAGGCAGCAGUAGGGAAUCUUCCGCAAUGGACGAAAGUCUGACGGAGCAACGCCGCGUGAGUGAUGAAGGCUUUCGGGUCGUAAAACUCUGUUGUUAGGGAAGAACAAGUGCUAGUUGAAUAAGCUGGCACCUUGACGGUACCUAACCAGAAAGCCACGGCUAACUACGUGCCAGCAGCCGCGGUAAUACGUAGGUGGCAAGCGUUAUCCGGAAUUAUUGGGCGUAAAGCGCGCGCA
rnacentral:rRNA from 1 species